rnacentral:lncRNA from 1 species
GUUCAACAAAACUUCUCUCUAUUUCUCUCCACCAUUUUACUUACCUCUACCUCUCCAAAUUUCUUUAUCUCUAUUCAGCUUUUUGUCAUUUCUCUCUCUCUCUCACGCUCUAGUUUCACACUAUUUUUCCUUGUUGGAGAGGAAUGCGUGUUAGAGAGAAUUAUAUCUAUCUUUUGUCACAUUCUUUUUCUUCUAUGUAUCGAUUUAAUUUUCAUUUAUGGUGUGUAUUAAUAGAUAUGCGUAUGCUACAAAUUUCCUCAUGUAUUUUUUCUUGCAUUAAAAGCAAGCAACAACCCAUUGGUGAUAGCACAAUGAAAAGAUAUGUUAUUUGAGGAUGAAAAUAGCAUCGAGAAUUUUUUAAGAUACAGCUCACAAAUUUUAAUUGUAUGAUUUAUUUGUUCACUUCCUAUUUUUCAACUAUAUCUUCUUAA